CGGUUGAAAGGAAUGUUUAAAUUUAUCAAUAAAUGAAUUGCCUGACUUUAAGUUUUAUCGAAAUACACAAGCAAACUUGUUUGUUUUCGGCAUAAAUCCGUGUUGGCCACACAGCAUCCACAACAGCAACAGCAACAGCAGCUAGUCCUUGUGGUAAAAUAAAUUUUCUGCAAUUCAUGGCAGCAGCAGCAGUAGCAGCAGCAGCAGCAGCAGCAGUAGCGGCAACUGAGUUCUCAGGUGUGGGCGUGCCGGAAAUACGUGCCAAGACACGAAACUUUUGCGAAAAGGAUUAGGGCAGGCGUGCGGAUGGCGCUCCCCCACAGCCGAAUAAUACUCCAAGGACUUAAAAGGCAAUCAAAUUAAAUUGUUUUUGCGGUUAACCACAAAAGUUCUUCGGCUCAGAUCAGAAAUGCGAAAGAACCACAAAAUACAUAAACCAGUCCGUAAAUCCGUAAGUCCGGCCGUCCAUCUGUCUGUCCGUCCGUCCGUCUGGCAAUAAUUUGAAUUUUAUAUACAUUUUAUUAAAAUGUAUGUUUGCUCUCUCGUAUCUUCUGUAUGAUAAACGAGCAGUCAGCUGCCUGGCAUAAAUGUCAAUUAAAUUUAUUUAUCUGCAGCGCAAAUCAAGCGAAAUUCUUUAGCCGUUGACGCAGCCACAGCACCAACCCAACUCAAUACACCCAAAGCACCUAUAAAUACUUACCUGAACAUUUGUUUACGUACCCAGCCCAAUUAGACGUAAACAAGAGCCGCCGGAAGUAGGCCACGUAAAAAAAAAAAAAACACAUCGAAUCCACAUUAACAACAACAUCUACAUCCACGUCCACAUCAACAGCAACAGCAGCGAAUGAAGCUGGCAAUAAAUACUAAAGUGGCAUGAUGGAAACCAACUUGUCCAUCAAGCACUUAUAACGGAAAAUGUUUAAAUAAAUAAAUUCGAGGUGUCAAUUGAAAUCUCCUUGAGGGUCACUUUGGGACAGACUGUUGCUGCCCGUGGCUAUAGCCUGCUGUUGCAUUUACUGGCCACUGUGAUUGCGCAUCUUUGUCAUUGUGCCACUUUGACACAAGUUCAAGCGACAAGGCCGACGAGACUCAUAAAUUUGUAGCGCUUCGGGCCACGUUAACAUUGAUUUCUGGCUGUCAACGCGCUGCAAAAGGCCAAAUGCCACUAAUUUUAAUAAUAAAGCAGCAGCCAGCGACAUCACUGACACAUAUAUAUAUAUAUAUAUAGAUCUAUAUAAAUACAUAUAUAUUUUUUUUAUAUACAAAGCUAUUAUGUGCGUGAACUGUCGUAAAAUGCGGCGCCAACCAGACCAACAACAAAAGUCGAGCACAGCUGCAGUCAACGACUCGGCGACGACCUUAGAGAGCAACGAAUGAAAUAUUUAUAUAAGAUGUAUGUGUGUUUCUCUGUGUGUGUGUGUGUACAUUUCCAUAUAGCAUAAAAUUCAGGCGAAAAUAUGUUUGUGGAAAUUAAAUAAUUUAUAUUGCCAUUUGUCUGCAUACUUUGCAUAUUUCCCAUUAAUGACCCAGAAAAAAUAAUUGCGGCUAAGACAACAGCCCGAAAAGCACACGCUGAGAUGAAAGGCGAACAGAAUGAAUUAGAGUAGAUGGCCAACAUGGAAGACGCCAUGUGGUUAGAGAAAGAGUCUCACUAAUAUUGUGUCUAUCUGUGCGUGUGGGUGUGUGUGAGUAUUUCAAGGCCAGCGAGAGAUAAUUGCAGAAGAGACUGAUACAGAUAUAGAAACUAAGGAAAACAAAAUAAUUACAAUAAUUAAAUAGUAUAAUAUUUUUAGCGGGUUGCGGCCAAUCAGCCCGGCUAGCUCAGUCGGUAGAGCAUGAGACUCUUAAUCUCAGGGUCGUGGGUUCGAGCCCCACGUUGGGCGCAGUAUUACUUUUUGCUGAUUGGAAAAUUAGAGUACUUCAAAAGUUUGCUGAGCAUACAGUUUGAUGUGUAGAUAACAGAAAACCGAAAAUACUAAUUGCAUAAUGAUUUAAUAGGUGACUUUAA